AUUGAACGCUGGCGGCAGGCCUAACACAUGCAAGUCGAACGAUAACAGGAAGACGCUUGCUUCUUUGCUGACGAGUGGCGGACGGGUGAGUAAUGUCUGGGAAACUGCCUGAUGGAGGGGGAUAACUACUGGAAACGGUAGCUAAUACCGCAUAACGUCGCAAGACCAAAGAGGGGGACCUUCGGGCCUCUUGCCAUCGGAUGUGCCCAGAUGGGAUUAGCUAGUAGGUGGGGUAACGGCUCACCUAGGCGACGAUCCCUAGCUGGUCUGAGAGGAUGACCAGCCACACUGGAACUGAGACACGGUCCAGACUCCUACGGGAGGCAGCAGUGGGGAAUAUUGCACAAUGGGCGCAAGCCUGAUGCAGCCAUGCCGCGUGUAUGAAGAAGGCCUUCGGGUUGUAAAGUACUUUCAGCGGGGAGGAAGGGAGUAAAGUUAAUACCUUUGCUCAUUGACGUUACCCGCAGAAGAAGCACCGGCUAACUCCGUG
rnacentral:rRNA from 1 species